AGCAGCGGUAAAGGGAAAUUGGUUGGAAUUUGAAUGAUCGCGGAAUUGGUGUCGCGUGUCAAGGUUCGCGUUGAUUUGUGCUUUAAUUGGCGGAGAAGAGAGAAUCGGUGAAAAGUUUAUUUUUUAUUAAUUUGGAAUAUUCGAAAACUGUGGACUGUGAAAAGUUAUUGGAGAAUUUUAUGGAAUCAUACGUGAGCAUCUUCGAAAAUAGCUACUACCGAUAAACCGAUCGCGUGCCGUAGCCUCUUUGAAAGGAAGAUACGUAAAAGCACGGGAAUAAAUUCUACCUCUGAACAUUGUAGAGCAUCCAGAAACAACAAUUUCCUCGUGAUGAAAAGAAAAAGGAAAAAAAAAGAAAGAUCGUUAACGAAAGUCCUUAAUAUUAGGAUCCGAGAAUGGGAUCAUCCGUUUCUCAGCGAAUUAACAAAGUUGAUUUGCAAGCAGUCCACGGCGCAUUCGCACGGCCAAUUGGCAGUAAAACAUUCGUCAGUUAAUAAGUAGUGUAACCGACUUCUAAUUAUUUCCUACCCAUCCGGUAGUUUUCAACCGACGCCGACGUGAUCGGAAUAUCGGCGAAAUCGCACGAACACCCAUGCGACUAAUUCGUCACCAACACGAUCCGACCCGCCCUUAUCCAGCCGGAUAUCGAACAUUCAGUAUAACAGUACGUUCUCUAUCGAUCGUUCCAAGUAUAUAUAUACAUAUGGAAACGUGACGGAUCCAGGAUGGAACCUCAAGAGAUCGAUAGAAAUUGAUGGAUUAUGAAAUUGCUGGAUAAUGUGAUCUAUGCAUCUGAAGGGUGAUUACAUGGAUGAAGAUCCAUGGAAUUCGUAAUUUCAUUUAUUAUGAAGAUUAAAGAUUCGAGAGAGGAAUUUAAAUAGAUCAACAGAAGUUGGCGAUUAAUGUGACUCGAAAGGAGGUUAAUUUAUUUAUUCCAUUAGAGUAAAUAUAUUGAAAGUGGUGUUUAAAUUACAAACUACAGUAAAGAUGUGUUUCGAAAAAUCGAGCAGGAUAUUACAUCGGAUAUUGUGUGUCGGCUCAUCCGUGAAAAUCAAUGGUACAAUUGACGACGUACGAUGUAAGAAUGUAAAAGUAGAUAAGAAUGAUAGCUCUUGUAAGCUCUUGAAGCUUCGCUAAUCUUGAUCAUAUGAGAUAAAUCCACCUUUGUAUCAAGCGAAUACAAAUACGGCGAUACAUCAGAAUGAGAAAACAAAGUGUUAGCUUACAAAAUUACUCAAAUCCAGCAUAACCCGAUUUCUUAAUAUGCUUUUCACUCUGUUAAUUAUCUAUCAAUUAAUUGAAUAUUUAAAAUCUACCUACGCAGUAACAAGAAACGAAAGGUUCAAGAAAUUUGAGGCGUUUAAGGAAAAUAUCAAACUCAAAGCAGAGGUUGGCACCGAAAUGUCUACGAUCUUACAGUAUUAUCAAACUUUAUGACAUAGAAUUAGUAACACUUUAAAUACACCAUAAACUAUUGCACGCAUAAAUUUCCACUUCAGAUGUUUUAUAGGAGUUUUUACGCUCAUUCUAAAUAAGAUACGCGAAUAUUUUACGAUCUUUUCACGUAAGCAGAAAAUAUUCCAAAUUUUAGAAGGUAUCGAGAAUUUAUGCAGCCGAGAAACAUAAAUUUCUGUUACGAAAUGACAAACUAUACGCUUAAACGAAGCAUAUACUGCCUGCAGAGAUAUCCGAAUAUAAAAUACAGAUAAAAAAAAAAGAACAAAAAGAAAAAUACAAAUUCAUGUUGAUAAAUCAUUGCCGUUAAUUUGUUAACAGUGUAUUAGUAAAUUGAGAAGAACUAUCUCUGUUAUGCGAGAUAUUCAUUCAUCCAGAAUAUGAAAUCGGUCAAUAUUCUAACAUCAAAAAAUUCCAAUAUACAAUUUUGCUAUAGCGAACAAUAAUUCUGUACACGAGUACUUUUAGCGAGAUGAACCUGAUUAAGUAGUUUCCUAGAAACUUGAAGAAUUACACUACUAAAAUUAAAUCUACUUCAAAAUAGAAAUUUCGGGAAUUUAAUAAUGCCAUAAAUGAUACGUAUUUGGCGAAUAAUUUAAAAAUGCAAUCUUUAAAAUGCAUGUAUCCUGUUUAAAAUCUUGAUGUUUAAACGUCUGAGUCGAUAAGAGGUAUUCGCGAGAUAAGGAAAUGUAAUCAAGGGAAAUUAUCGGAAUAAUUAUGGUUAAAUAUCGAAGCCGAAUAUCGAAUUUUCAGGCAAAAAUUCGACACAGCGAUCCUUGGAACGUUGUUAAACGUUCUCAUGAUGUCUCACAACUCUUGCUGGGAAUGUCGUUGAGAGCAAUUGUUCAAGGUCUCGUCGAUCAUUUGUCAAUCGAUAGCACGCUAUUGAUUCCACGCUAGAAACAAGGAGAAUUCUGUUCGCAUCGAUGCGACCCGAUUCCACUAUUCAAAAAAAGAUGCUGCAAAACCCGGUAGUAAACAGAAAUUGAAUUAUCCUGUGUCAUUUAAGUUAGUUAGAGUGGAGUUUGCACUAUUUUUUCAGCAGCAAUACAUUCCGUGUUUCGUUAUAACCUCACACGAUAAAAAAUGAAAGUAAAAGAACAUAAAUACAAAAAUUGUCUAUAA